rnacentral:piRNA from 1 species
ACCUGCCAAGAGCUUAAGAGCUAAGA